rnacentral:lncRNA from 1 species
CUCUGAGACAGGGAUAUCCUGACAUAUGGAAUCUUUUGGAGUUCCAUUCAUUGUCCUUCUAAUAAUCUGUAUCAAGAUAAAGAGGAAUUUGAGAACUAACCAACAACUUCGGAAUCCUGUAUUAUGACUGUACAAAUACAACCCUCCAUCUGAGAUCAGUGUUUACAGAGCCCAGAAGCCAUGAUUAGGAAACAAUACCACAGCUCUUGGUAUUUUAUUCAGUCUCUUCACUUCUUGGACCUACCAUAUUUUGUCGUUUGAUCUGUGCAAAAAUUCAGUGUGUGCCCACAUAUCUGAAAGACUGGUGUUUGAGUGGUUGUGACAGACGACACAGAUGCUAUAACUGUUUUUUUAUUUUUUUUUAUUUAUUUAUUUUUAGAAAAGCCAUAAUACAGAGAGUCACAGCAUGCAUAUCAGUGGACACUGGAGAAUGUCAUGCACUCUUGAGUUUGACAAUGCCUUAUGUUUCUGCUGAGACAAAGGAAUAAUAUUAUAAUGAAUAUUCCUCUGUGCAAAAUGAUCUGUAUCAUCAACCUGUGAGAAAAUUCAAAGGUUGAAUUACUGGCUCAAAAAUUAUCAUUUUAAUAGCUUAGGUAAUAUUACUGCUAAAUAUAUUUUAUGGCAUGCCCAUUUAUCCUUAUUGUAUUUAUAAGAAU